GUCGAUUAUAUUAUUAAUAAAAGAUAAGCUGUCAGGUAAAAUUAGUUCUUCGAAAAUUUUUGGUUGUCAUUUUACCGGGAACUUCUUUCUUAUAUUUAUUCAGUUUUAUAGGCAAAUUGCAUGUGUUUGGAAUGCCAAUGGUCUUGCAAACAACGAAUUCGAUUAAAAUUGCCCAUUUCAGCGUUGUAUCUCCAUUUCAGCGUUUUAUCCCAAUUUCAGCGUCUUAUUCCCCAUUUCAGCGUUUUAUCCCCAUUUCAUCGUUUUAUCCCCAUUUCAGCGUUUAAUCCCAUUUCAGCGUUUUAUCCCCAUUUCAGCGUUUUAUCCCCAUUUCAGCGUUUUAUCCCGUAUUCAGCGUUUUAUCCCCAUUUCAGCGUUUUAUCCCCAUUUCAGCGUUUUAUCCCUAUUUCAGUUUUCGCUUUCAGUUUCCGUUUCCGCGAUUCAAUUUCAGCGUUUUAUCCCUACCCGUUUCAGUUGUAUGUCUUUUCACACGGAACAGAAAUGCAAACUUGUAAAGAAAAAUGGUGGUGUUUAUGGAUAUCUGAGGUAUGCCAUAACAUAAAAGUAUCUCUUUUGAAUGAAAAAAACAACAAAAAUAUCACAUCCAAAAUGUUUUUUAUCUCUUUACAUAAAAUAAGCAAAAUGGGUAAAAUAUUAGCAAUAUUCGCCAUUUUUUUACAGGCGGUUGUAUUCAAUGGGGCCAACAAACAGCAUUUUGGAUUUGAAUGUUACUUUUUUG